rnacentral:rRNA from 1 species
UCCAUGCUGUAAACGAUGAGAACUUGCUGUUGGGUGCAUAAAAGCAUUUAGUAGCGAAGCUAACGCGAUAAGUUCUCCGCCUGGGGAGUACGGCCGCAAGGCUAAAACUCAAAGGAAUUGACGGGGGCCCGCACAAGCGGUGGAGCAUGUGGUUUAAUUCGAUGCAACGCGAAGAACCUUACCUACUCUUGAAUCCACGGAAAUCUGCAGAGAUGCGGAUGUGCCUUCGGGAACCGUGAGACAGGUGCUGCAUGGCUGUCGUCAGCCUGUGUCG